rnacentral:rRNA from 1 species
GCGAUAGAGAUGGCAGCUGUGGCGGUAGUGUGGAGGGUGGAAGGGUCAAGCGGAGUGACUGUGCGGAAAGCGGGCGGAGGCGGUUAUAGAGUGCAGAUGUGAAGUCCUCGGGCUGAACCUGGGAACGUCAUUUGGGGAGGUAUAGGUAGUGUACGGCAGAGGGGGAUGGAAGUCCGCGUGUAGCAGUGAAAUGCGUAGAUAUGCGGAGGAACACCGAUGGCGAAGGCAAUCCCCUGGGCCUGUACUGACGCUCAUGCACGAAAGCGUGGGGAGCAAACAGGAUUAGAUACCCCAGUAGUC